rnacentral:rRNA from 1 species
AUUGAACGCUGGCGGCAGGCCUAACACAUGCAAGUCGAGCGGUUGAAGGGAGCUUGCUCCUGGAUUCAGCGGCGGACGGGUGAGUAAUGCCUAGGAAUCUGCCUGGUAGUGGGGGAUAACGUCCGGAAACGGGCGCUAAUACCGCAUACGUCCUGAGGGAGAAAGUGGGGGAUCUUCGGACCUCACGCUAUCAGAUGAGCCUAGGUCGGAUUAGCUAGUUGGUGGGGUAAAGGCCUACCAAGGCGACGAUCCGUAACUGGUCUGAGAGGAUGAUCAGUCACACUGGAACUGAGACACGGUCCAGACUCCUACGGGAGGCAGCAGUGGGGAAUAUUGGACAAUGGGCGAAAGCCUGAUCCAGCCAUGCCGCGUGUGUGAAGAAGGUCUUCGGAUUGUAAAGCACUUUAAGUUGGGAGGAAGGGCAGUAAGUUAAUACCUUGCUGUUCUGACGUUACCAACAGAAUAAGCACCGGCUAACUUCGUG